rnacentral:rRNA from 1 species
AGGUAGGAAGACCCGCUGAACUUAAGCAUAUCAAUAAGCGGAGGAAAAGAAACCAACAGGGAUUGCCCUAGUAACGGCGAGUGAAGCGGCAACAGCUCAAAUUUGAAAUCUGGCCUCGGCCCGAGUUGUAAUUUGCAGAGGAAGCUUUAGGCGCGGCACCUUCUGAGUCCCCUGGAACGGGGCGCCAUAGAGGGUGAGAGCCCCGUAUAGUUGGAUGCCUAGCCUGUGUAAAGCUCCUUCGACGAGUCGAGUAGUUUGGGAAUGCUGCUCAAAAUGGGAGGUAAAUUUCUUCUAAAGCUAAAUACCGGCCAGAGACCGAUAGCGCACAAGUAGAGUGAUCGAAAGAUGAAAAGCACUUUGAAAAGAGGGUUAAAUAGCACGUGAAAUUGUUGAAAGGGAAGCGCUUGUGACCAGACUUGCGCCGGGCUGAUCAUCCGGUGUUCUCACCGGUGCACUCUGCCCGGCUCAGGCCAGCAUCGGUUCUCGCGGGGGGAUAAAGGCCCAGGGAACGUAGCUCCUCCGGGAGUGUUAUAGCCCUGGGUGUAAUGCCCUCGCGGGGACCGAGGUUCGCGCAUCUGCAAGGAUGCUGGCGUAAUGGUCACCAGCGACCCGUCUUGAAACACGGACCAAGGAGUCAAGGUUUUGCGCGAGUGUUUGGGUGUAAAACCCGCACGCGUAAUGAAAGUGAACGUAGGUGAGAGCUUCGGCGCAUCAUCGACCGAUCCUGAUGUUUUCGGAUGGAUUUGAGUAGGAGCGUUAAGCCUUGGACCCGAAAGAUGGUGAACUAUGCUUGGAUAGGGUGAAGCCAGAGGAAACUCUGGUGGAGGCUCGCAGCGGUUCUGACGUGCAAAUCGAUCGUCAAAUCUGAGCAUGGGGGCGAAAGACUAAUCGAACCAUCUAGUAGCUGGUUACCGCCGAAGUUUCCCUCAGGAUAGCAGUGUUGUCUUCAGUUUUAUGAGGUAAAGCGAAUGAUUAGGGACUCGGGGGCGCUUUUUAGCCUUCAUCCAUUCUCAAACUUUAAAUAUGUAAGAAGCCCUUGUUACUUAAUUGAACGUGG